GUCAACUACCCCUCCCUGAAGGGAGGGGCUUGUAGUUCCGGUUAAACUGGACUACAUUGGGCUGGUUGACAAGGCAGCCUACUCAGACAAGAUAUACCCGCCUGAGCAAUGUUUCGAGACGCGUUAAGGUCCGCAUGGA
rnacentral:ncRNA from 2 species